rnacentral:rRNA from 1 species
GUAGGUGGCAUUGUAAGCAAAUAGUGAAAUCGUGUGGCUCAACCAUACACACAUUGUUUGAACUGCAUUGCUAGAGAAUGAGAGAGGUUAUUAGAAUUCCCGGUGUAGGGGUGACAUCCGUAGAUAUUGGGAGGAAUACCGAUGGCGUAGGCAGAUAACUGGCUCAUUUCUGACACUAAGGCACGAAAGCGUGGGGAGCGAACGGGAUUAGAUACCCCGGUAGUCCACGCCGUAAACGAUGGAUGCUAGCUGUUAGAAGUAUCGACCCUUCUAGUAGCACAGCUAACGCGAUAAGCAUCCCGCCUGUGGAGUACGGUCGCAAGACUAAAACAUAAAGGAAUUGACGGGGACCCGCACAAGCGGUGGAGCGUGUUGUUUAAUUCGAUGGUAAGCGAAGAACCUUACCCAGGCUUGACAUCCUGCCAAGAUCUUCGAAAGAAGAUUGUGCCUUCGGGCCGCAGUGACAGGUGUUGCAUGGCCGUCGUCAGCUCGUGUCGUGAGAUGUUAGGUUAAGUCCUUCAACGAGCGCAACCCUUAUAGUUAGUUGUAUUUUUCUAGCUAGACUGCCCUGGUAACAGGGAGGAAGGAGGGGAUGAUGUCAGGUCAGUAUUACCCUUACGUCUGGGGCUACAAACACGCUACAAUGGCCGGUACAAAGGGCAGCCAACCCGCGAGGGGGAGCAAAUCCCAUCAAAGCCGGUCUCAGUUCGGAUUGCAGGCUGAAACUCGCCUGCAUGAAGCUGGAAUCGCUAGUAAUGGUAGGUCAGCACGCUACCGUGAAUACGUUCCCGGGUCUUGUACACACCGCCCGUCAAACCAUGAAAGUCACCAAUACCUGACGUGCCAAUUUGUUUGGUCCUAAGGUAGGGGGGAUGAUUGGGGUU